UACGGAGGGUGCAAGCGUUAUCCGGAUUCACUGGGUUUAAAGGGUGCGUAGGAGGGCAGGUAGUCAGGGGUGAAAUCUUCGAGCUUAACUCGGAAACUGCCGUUGAUACUAUCUGUCUUGAAUACCGUGGAGAUGAGCGGAAUAUGUCAUGUAGCGGUGAAAUGCUUAGAUAUGACAUAGAACACCAAUUGCGAAGGCAGCUCGUUACACGAAUAUUGACUCUGAGGCACGAAAGCGUGGGGAUCAAACAGG
rnacentral:rRNA from 1 species